rnacentral:rRNA from 1 species
UACGGGGGGAGCAAGCGUUGUUCGGAUUUACUGGGCGUAAAGGGCGCGUAGGCGGCUCGGCACGUCCGUUGUGAAAUCGCCCGGCUCAACUGGGCGGGGUCAGCGGAUACGGUCGAGCUUGAGCAAGCUAGGGGGCAAUGGAAUUCCCGGUGUAGUGGUGGAAUGCGUAGAUAUCGGGAGGAACACCAGUGGCGAAGGCGGUUGCCUGGAGCUUUGCUGACGCUGAUGCGCGAAAGCGUGGGGAGCGAUCCGG